CUGUUCCACGAGGACAACUCUUCAAACAAAGCCUGCAGGCGGGGGAGAUGGCAAUGAAAAUUAUUGAUCGCCUUGUGAGACAAAAUCGUGCCUUCAGGCAGCAGGCGGCAUGGUCCUCAAAGCGGAGUGAGAAGUGUGAGGCUGCAGUCCAGCAGUUGAAAACUGAAAAUGGGAAAUUGAAGGAGGAGUUGAUGGCAGCUCGAUGUGAGGUCACUGAUGUAGAAAUGCUACAGGUGGCAAUGGAGGUAGAGAAGGGAGUGGCGGAGGUGUUGGAGGAGGGAGGAGAAGGUGUGGUGGCAGGAGGAGGAGAAGAUGUGGCAGGAGUCUGAGGAGUUUGUGUUUGUUUUGUUAUUUGUCUUUGUUUAAUAAAUGUUGUUUACAUACGUGUUUGUUUCCUUUUGUAUACAACUUCUAUGGGGAUUAGGGUGUUAGGAAUUGUAAUAAGUGUUCACACACAAAACAAUGGUAAUAUUACCAUAUGGGGUAAAGAAAAAAAUAGUAUUCCAGAGGUGUUAGUUAGUGUUAGCCAUUAGUUAUUUGUGUGUUUCUGAAAUAAGGAAAUUAAUUUUUCUGAUGUUGUAAUGUUGCAUAUGAGAG
rnacentral:lncRNA from 1 species